rnacentral:rRNA from 1 species
UACGGAGGGUGCAAGCGUUGUUCGGAAUCACUGGGCGUAAAGGGCGCGUAGGCGGCCAUUCAAGUGACGGGUGAAAGCCCUCGGCUUAACCGAGGAACUGCCUGUCAGACUGGAUGGCUUGAGACCGGGAGAGGUGAGUGGAAUUCCCAGUGUAGCGGUGAAAUGCGUAGAUAUUGGGAGGAACACCAGUGGCGAAGGCGGCUCACUGGACCGGAACUGACGCUGAGGCGCGAAAGCGUGGGGAGCAAACAGG